rnacentral:rRNA from 1 species
UAGUGGCGAACGGGUGAGUAACACGUGGGCAAUCUGCCCUGCACUCUGGGACAAGCCCUGGAAACGGGGUCUAAUACCGGAUNGUGAGCCGGGACCGCAUGGUUCUGGUUGUAAAGCUCCGGCGGUGCAGGAUGAGCCCGCGGCCUAUCAGCUUGUUGGUGAGGUAAUGGCUCACCAAGGCGACGACGGGUAGCCGGCCUGAGAGGGCGACCGGCCACACUGGGACUGAGACAAGGCCCAGACUCCUACGGGAGGCAGCAGUGGGGAAUAUUGCACAAUGGGCGAAAGCCUGAUGCAGCGACGCCGCGUGAGGGAUGACGGCCUUCGGGUUGUAAACCUCUUUCAGCAGGGAAGAAGCGAAAGUGACGGUACCUGCAGAAGAAGCGCCGGCUAACUACGUGCCAGCAGCCGCGGUAAUACGUAGGGCGCAAGCGUUGUCCGGAAUUAUUGGGCGUAAAGAGCUCGUAGGCGGCUUGUCACGUCGAUUGUGAAAGCCCGGGGCUUAACUCCGGGUCUGCAGUCGAUACGGGCUAGCUAGAGUGUGGUAGGGGAGAUCGGAAUUCCU